ACCAAACCAAGCUGAAAAAGGGUU
rnacentral:siRNA from 1 species